rnacentral:misc_RNA from 1 species
GCAAACUUGGUCAUUUAGAGGAAGUAAAAGUCGUAACAAGGUUUCCGUAGGUGAACCUUCGGAAGGAUCAUUAAACACGCUUUAUGCGAGUGCCCAGCACGUCUGGGUUUCACUACCCUUGUCUUUGAGUACCUUUGUUUCCUCGGCAGGUUCGCCUGCCAUUGGGGACUUUUAAACAUCUUGUAAUAGCAGUUCUGUCUGAAAUAAGCAAACAAUUAAAACUUUCAACAACGGAUCUCUUGGUUCUGGCAUCGAUGAAGAACGCAGC